AAGACUAUACUUUCAGGGAUCAUUUCUAUAGUAUGUUACUAGAGAAGUUUCUCUGAUCGUGUAGAGCACCCGGAGCCAUGAGGAGUCAGAGCGUCCUCUCCUGAGCGUGAAGGUGUCGCUAGGUGUCGCUUCUGCGGCUGCCUUUUGCCAUUGAUGAUAGUUCUUCCCUUCCUUUGGAAGGGGUAGAGGGAGAGGAUGCAGUUUGAGUGGU